UUCACAGCCUUCCAAGCCAGAACGCGGCAGCAAAACGCGAUUGGCUGGGGUUGCCUGUCUGGCCUUAUUUAGAAAGCUCUCGAGGAACUGGGAACCUCGAGCGUGGAACCUAGAGUUUGCUUGGCGUUUUGAGGACUGGCUGCCUGGCUACACUGCGGUUCUGGUCAAGCCGAGCAUUUAAAGGGACACGGAAGUUUGUCCUGCUGAGGAGGCAGUCAGGGGCGGCUCCAUCUUGGGCCUACGGGUUUAUUUCACCUGUGCCUUCAAACUUUUAUUAACGUAUUCCAAGUGCAUUUGUGGAAGACGUACUGGACGGGUCAGCGUAGAUGGUGUGGAGCAGGAAAGGUUCGUGCAGCCUAGUGGGUAACUUCACUGCUGCCUUCACAAGCCUGUCCUGGAGACCAGCACUUAAACAAUUAACUUGUAACACGGAGAUGCUCACUGAUAUAUUCUGAGAAUUCUGUCAGUGCCCACUAUGUGCCAGGGAGACAAAGAGUCCGCUUGAGACAGAGGCGUUAAAAAAAACAAAUAAUGACAAAACCAGUUAUUUUCCUCAUGGAGUAGAGAGAAGAGUAGCAGUCUGAAUGAGUCACUUCUUGUCCUAUGCAGAAGCUGGAGGUUUCAGAAGUCUACAUAAGCAUUUAUGGGGAAUAUUGCAGAGAUGUGAUCCAUGGGUCAUGUGGAUUCCUGCUUGAGACCAGGUUAUCAGCAAAGAAGAGAGCGUCCAAGGUAGGGAGAUGUGGAUUUUCCAAGAUACCAAGCUUCUCUAUACCUGUGGAGGCUGAUCUUCUCUUCUUAGAAAGGUGGCAGUUGUUCUGAUCCAGCCAGUGUACCUGUUAUAACAAGAAGUUGUUGCUAAAUUUACUUUCCGUGUUAUUAUUUCAGUGGUUCAUUUGGAGGCCUCCUCUGGUACUGAGCAUGGCCUCAACUUGGGAACUACUCAUGUUCCAAAUAUAAUGGUUUUCAAACUUCAUCUUGACUGAACAAUUCUUUGUUCAAAGAAGAACUUAGAAAGAUGCUCAAUAAAUAAAGAAGAGGAACUGUUGUUGUUGAUUUU
rnacentral:lncRNA from 1 species